GAUGAACGCUGGCGGCGUGCCUAAUACAUGCAAGUCGAGCGAAUGGAUUAAGAGCUUGCUCUUAUGAAGUUAGCGGCGGACGGGUGAGUAACACGUGGGUAACCUGCCCAUAAGACUGGGAUAACUCCGGGAAACCGAGGCUAAUACCGGAUAACAUUUUGAACCGCAUGGUUCGAAAUUGAAAGGCGGCUUCGGCUGUCACUUAUGGAUGGACCCGCGUCGCAUUAGCUAGUUGGUUAGGUAACGGCUCACCAAGGCAACGAUGCGUAGCCGACCUGGGAGGGUGAUCGGCCACACUGGGACUGAAGCACGGCCCAGACUCCUACGGGAGGCAGCAGUAGGGAAUCUUCCGCAAUGGACGAAAGUCUGACGGAGCAACGCCGCGUGAGUGAUGAAGGCUUUCGGGUCGUAAAACUCUGUUGUUAGGGAAGAACAAGUGCUAGUUGAAUAAGCUGGCACCUUGACGGUACCUAACCAGAAAGCCACGGCUAACUACGUGCCAGCCGCCGCGGUAA
rnacentral:rRNA from 1 species